GCAAUCAAUACCACAAAUCGCCAAGGAAAACAACUCAUUCGACUUAAAUACAUUGUAAUCGGGAUUAGGAUUUCGCUGCCUGUAAAAAGCUGUACAAAUUGAUUAACUAUUGAAACUACUUUGGAAAAAAUUCUGGAAACUCAUUUGAAAUCAAUACAAUUUGUUACAGUUAAUUAAUGACAAUAAACUAAGAAUGUCAAUGGAGCAUUCUGGUUGUGAAACGGAAGCUAUGGAGGAACCCGGACUAGAAGGAAGCACUACCACAAUAUUUGAUGUGCUCAAAAUCGACAUUUGCUGCCGAGCAAUCCUUACAAAGAUACCCUUUCCGGAUCUGGUACGCUCGGAGAGAGUAAGCAGAGAAUGGCAGGCUAUUGUGCAUGAUUAUCUCCGGUACAACAAACGCAAUAUGAGAUUCUUUGAUCUCUAUAGAGACAUUCAUUGUUACAACCAGAGAAACAAAAUCUACAGGAAUAAUCCAUUAAUCAUGGAUCACACCAUGGUUUUCCGUGCACACAAUUCUACAGAGAUAGUCAAGAAACCGAUACAUUUAAUUAUACAAGACGUUACAGAUCGCUGGUUGACAUAAACAUUUGAACCUGAACUUAUCAUCAUGUCACUAGUAGCAAAACUUGAUAGAUACGGAAUAUUUCAAUUUUAGACCCGAUAAAAUAGAUUUUCUGAGCCUGUCACUCUACAAACAGAUUCUUAAAAGCAUGUAAUUGACACAUCAAAAAAAAAACAAAUAAGGUGCGUUUGAGGUAAGAUUGAAAGGGUUUUUCAUGAGGGGUAAUACAAAAAAUCGUCCGUAUGCCGAAGCAUUACGGGCGACUUUUCAUCUAACCCCGCAUGAAAAACUCUUUCAAUCUUAGCAUUAGGACCUAAAUACACGUAUAUCAUACUCAUUGUAAAAACCAAUAAUUUAUUUUAAUUUUCACUAUUAGCAAUACAAUAGAGUUUUUUAGUGAUUUUAAACCUUUUAGUGACAAGGGACCACUUGAAAAAAUAAUGCCAGGGUCCUCCAACUUUUUGGAAUGUAAACAACGUGUCCCAGGUAGCAGUGACGUUAGCGACGUCAUAAUGACGUAAUAAUGAUGUUAUGAUGACGUAUAAAUGCUGUUAGGGGUACCAGUAGUCCGUCAGUGGACCAUCUGUUAAUAACCAUGGUCAUACCCAAAUUUCCCAAGGGGCCGAUACAGACGGACUGCAAUUUGUAUUGGAACUACAUGAUAACUGCAACGUCGGCGUACAGUUCUCAUACAAGUUGCAGUCCGUCUGUACCGGCCCUAUUAGUCGCGACCUGUUAAGAACCACUUGGUCUACAAAGGCUACGUUUACGUGCCGAGAUUUGGCAAGCCUGACGCAGUUAUGCGUUCGAGGGAGCAAGCGAUAUUGCUAUCUCAUUCCACCGCAUAGCUGCGUCCAUAGACAUAGUAUAUACAAGUAGUUAUAGACGCGCCACCGAGCGAUCGGGGGUAAGAGAAAGAAUAUUCAUAUAAAAUUUGGACAGCAUAGGAUUUUUUCUCUAUCGCUUAAAUUUCGGUAUAUUGCCAUCGCCUCCUACCUAUGAUGCCACCCGGUCAGUGAUAAGGACAAAGCAUGGCACCAUUUUCUCUUUUCUCUUAUAGGAGUCGCAAUAAGACUAUCUUUCUCUAUCAAAGAGUGUCAGGCCCUUGGUGCGGAACGGGCAUCGUAUUGUACACUGGGCGUCUAGCACUAAAUUUUGGUUUUGACGUCUGGACGUUUAUGCCGAGUGUUACUUUGUACAAUUACAAUGUAUUGCAAAUUAGGCGGCACGAGGUUAAAUUAAACUAAACUAUUCUAGGCAUUGUAAUGUAAUUUAUUUAGGUAUGCUUUCCUUUUUGGGCGGAAAAUAUUUUCGACACUGAAUAAAAGUCAAAUUGAAAAAAGCUUAUUAGAUCUCUUCUGUUUUUCGUAGUUAUUAGGACAUGAUUUUAAAAUUAAGUAUUUGGUUGGAUAUGUUUUAUCUAAAUGGAAUGGAUUUGUAUAUGAUGAAAUCGAAUAACUCUGUAAUGUAAUGACAGCAUAAUCUUUUAAAAAAAAUAUGGUAGGUAUUAUUUAUUUAUCUAUAUUUGAUUUUUUACUUACCUACUUAAAUUUUACACAUUUUAGUACUAGUUUGUAUUCUCUUUUAUUCGUAAGUUUUUGUUGACGGUAUUUUAUUAAAAGCAACACAAUCAUUGGUAAAGUAAGGACGCUAAGUUAUAGAAUGUUGUAUUUUGACACUCUAUUUCCUAUCUCUAUCGCACGCGCAUUGCUGUACCGCUCGCACAGUGGCAUUGACCGCCGGCAUCAUCGGCGGGACAGCAAUAUAUAUAAUUAUGCGCGUGCGAUAGAGAUAGGAAAUGGCGGGACGACGUAAGAAAUUCUUCCUUACUUUAGACUUUAUUUCGUUGCAGUAAGAUUUACAAUUGGUCUCUGUAGUGUAGCGAUGAUACAAACAGCAACAUUCUUAGGUCCACCAGGACUGUCCAUCGCUGGACCUUAUGUCUUUUGUAAUAAGGUCCACCGAUAGACAGUUAACAGUGUGGGCGAUAUACCAGAGAACAAAUUGGGAUUGGUUUAAAUUUUGUGCAAUAAAAGUACCGUCAGCAAAGAAGGUUGUGUUUUUACUUUUUUUUGCUUAUUUUACGUUAGAUCUACUGUGUGUAGUUUGCUCAUAAUAAAAUUAAUGAAUUAAUA